rnacentral:misc_RNA from 1 species
AAAACCCACAACCAUUCAUUUUUGUUUUGGUUGGACUUGGGCUAUUAGUUUGGAGUCUUUGGCAUUCGUGCUUAGAGAGCCAAGCAGCCUGGAAUAUACUGUUGGUCAAUUGUAUCGUGGUAAUCAAUAUACAAGACCUUGGCUUUAUAAACGAACUGGGAUUUGAUUUGACCAGUUUUAGCCUCUGUCAUUGGGAUUACAGUAAAUCGAUCUUGGCUUAGAGAUUAGUUAGCCGUUUUCGGCUUUCUAGUCAAACUAAAUCAUAUCUUUCAG